rnacentral:rRNA from 1 species
ACAGUGUCUGGUGGGUAGUUUGACUGGGGCGGUCUCCUCCCAAAGCGUAACGGAGGAGCACGAAGGUUAGCUAAUCCUGGUCGGACAUCAGGAGGUUAGUGCAAUGGCAUAAGCUAGCUUGACUGCGAGCGUGACGGCGCGAGCAGGUGCGAAAGCAGGUCAUAGUGAUCCGGUGGUUCUGAAUGGAAGGGCCAUCGCUCAACGGAUAAAAGGUACUCCGGGGAUAACAGGCUGAUACCGCCCAAGAGUUCAUAUCGACGGCGGUGUUUGGCACCUCGAUGUCGGCUCAUCACAUCCUGGGGCUGAAGUAGGUCCCAAGGGUAUGGCUGUUCGCCAUUUAAAGUGGUACGCGAGCUGGGUUUAGAACGUCGUGAGACAGUUCGGUCCCUAUCUGCCGUGGGCGCUGGAGAAUUGAGGGGGGCUGCUCCUAGUACGAGAGGACCGGAGUGGACGCAUCACUGGUGUUCGGGUUGUCAUGCCAAUGGCACUGCCCGGUAGCUAAAUGCGGAAGAGAUAAGUGCUGAAAGCAUCUAAGCACGAAACUUGCCCCGAGAUGAGUUCUCCCUGAGACUU